rnacentral:rRNA from 1 species
AUUGAACGCUGGCGGCAUGCUUUACACAUGCAAGUCGAACGGGGUGGUGGGGCAACCUGCCAUUCAGAGGCGAACGGGUGAGUAAUGCAUCGGAACGUAUCCCGUAGUGGGGGAUAACGCCGCGAAAGCGGCGCUAAUACCGCAUAUGCUCUACGGAGGAAAGUGGGGGACCGCAAGGCCUCACGCUAUGGGAGCGGCCGAUGUCCGAUUAGCUUGUUGGUGGGGUAAUGGCCCACCAAGGCGACGAUCGGUAGCUGGUCUGAGAGGAUGAUCAGCCACACUGGGACUGAGACACGGCCCAGACUCCUACGGGAGGCAGCAGUGGGGAAUUUUGGACAAUGGGGGCAACCCUGAUCCAGCCAUGCCGCGUGCGGGAAGAAGGCCUUCGGGUUGUAAACCGCUUUUAGUCGGGAAGAAAAGGCCAAGGUUAAUACCCUUGGUUCUUGACGGUACCGGCGGAAUCAGCACCGGCUAACUACGUGCCAGCAGCCGCGGUAAUAC